rnacentral:rRNA from 1 species
GAUGAACGCUAGCGGCAGGCUUAAUACAUGCAAGUCGAGGGGUAACACGGGUAGCAAUACCUGGUGACGACCGGCAAACUGGUGCGGAACACGUACAGAACCUUCCUUUAAGCGGGGGAGUAGCCCACUAGAAAUAGUGGAUUAAUACCCCACUAGUAAUAUUGUCUGGCAUCAGAUGGUAUUUAAAGUAUUUAUUCACUUAAAGAUGGCUGUGCGGCUGAUUAGGUAGUUGGUGCGGG